rnacentral:sRNA from 24 species
UGGGCUGGUCGAAAGGCCCGGGUCCACCAAAUGGCGGGUAAGACACCC